rnacentral:sRNA from 1 species
CACAGGUGAAGCGCAGGAAGCGCCUCAGUCACGGAUGACAGGUCAGCACGGAUGCACUUCGACAGGACGUUGAAGGGCCACAAAAGAACCCGCUUCGGCGGGUUUUUU